AGUCAUAUUAAUGACCAAGAAUGACUUACUUGUAACUUAAUUGUUAUGUGCUUUUAAUAUGUGUUUCAGGCAGUGGUGUUGCAUCUUUUAUAUGCAUGGUUGUCCUGAAGUCAUUCUGGAACAGGGUAAGUCGCCGACUGAAGAAAAAUAAACAGACUUAAAGGCCAUAACACUGUCAUGUUAUUUGUUUAUGAAUAGCCAUUUUCACUCACUCAGGCUUGCUGUCCUUGUUGCACUGUGCACUGUGUAGGAUGGUGGCAGAGUAGAUUUUGCAACUAAAUAAUAAACUCAUAUUUACAGUUAGUACUAUUAUAACUAAUAUUGCAAUUUGCGCAGUCAUAGAGAAUAUUUUGAAUUUGAUGGUGGUGGUAAGAAUCAGUGAAAAAGAUUUAUGACUGGGCCGCAUGAAUUAUGGAACGAGACUGCCAAAUACAUUUCACAGUGCACCUUUGAGGUCAAUAGAUCCCUUUACUGUUUGCAUACAGAUGUGACAUAAUCAAGCUGCGCUCUCAUUGUUGGAGCACAAUGGACCAUGUAUGCACAUUUGUAAAGAAACUAGCCAGGUGUUAUUUCUGAAAUAAGCAAAUGGAUGGUCACGAUAACUUCAGAUAUGAAGUGGAACCGCUCAUUCCUUAUGGUGGCCUCAGUCCGGUCGUUCUUAAAUUUCUUGAAACAAACUCCUAUGUUCUGAAACAGCCUAUUCCCGUAGAAUAGCGUAACAAGUGUUCUUUUUAGGGUCUCUAUUUAAAAAAAGGAUGGCAGGUCUUCUCUCUUUAGGGUCUGCACUGUCUCUGUGUGUGUUUGAGUCAACAAUGCGUGAGCAGUCUGAUGACUUAACUUCUAUGUGAAGCUGUCAAGAGCUGUGUAGAGGGCAAAUACACUGUGGAUUGGUCACAACUGUUACUAAUAACUCAACCCCUUUACUUUUUCAGCUCUAGACAGAUGACCAAAACAGACCAUAGAAUGUACCUUUAAAGAAAAAAGUUUAACCAAUGAGUAUUCUUAAUAGUGUAUCUUGUCCCAGGGUUGUGUUCAGGUGCGUGACAACUGACAACAUUGAGAAGACCCAGGAGCGGGAGAAGGGCAGCCUGAUGAAAGAAGGCGACAGUGUUCUGUGGUCACACCUGAGAUGAUGGUCCUGAAGAGGAACGAGAGGAGAUACUGGCCAUAUAAAUACAGGCACUGGGCAUCACAGUGGAGGACAAUCAUGAAAAGGUUGAAGACUUCACUGUGCCCAUCCCUGAAGUCCCUCCACUCGGUGCAGCAGCUCUUUCCACCAUACUGCCAUGCUCUGGGUUGUCCCUGCCACCAUCCACCUUUUGGGUCAUCCGUGCCGCCAGCCAUCACCGUGCCUGCAGCGCCUGGGUCAUCCGUGCCACUCCCCACCAUGCUGCCAGCCAUCACUGUGCCUGCAGCACCUGGGUCAUCCCUGCCACCAUCCACCGUGCCUUCAACGUCCACAGCACCUCCGGUCUCUGUGAGCCAGUUUGCAGCUCUACUGACCUCUCCAGUAUACAGUAUGCUGUAAUUGCUAAUGGUUUCUCUGAGUGGCCUGACCGGUUAAUUGUCCCGUAUCCCAACUAUUUACCACUAAACAAGUGAUUUUGUAAUAAGUAGGAGAUCUUUGCAAUGUUAUCAGUAUGGUUGGACUCUGAUGUUUCACUGCUGUAUGUCUUCCUCAAAGAGUAAACCGAAUUCUGAGUAUUCUUGGAUUUAGUCUUUGAAAAGUAGAGCAGCCCGUUUGUUUGAAACUGUUGUCCUGGACACCAAAUAGACUGGAACUGAUAUCCUUUUUUAAAAGAAACUGGUAUCCUUUUUAUGUGUGCAGUUUAAUGGUAGAACAGUAUACACUGAUGUGCCUUUAUCAGUAACAAAGUGAAAACGGAACAAAAUUUGACUAUUUCUGUCAAAAACUGCUACAAAUUCUACAUAUUGUUUAUAUAAACCUAGUUCUGGAGGAAGUCUGAGAGUUAUUGACAGUUGCCAUGUCAAGCUUCCGCCUUCGCGUAAAUUUAAAUCCCACCUUCCCUCCUUCCCCUGUCAUGCGCAAAGGCUAUCCUAAUUGUCCCAGCACCUCCCCCUACUCCCUCAUCUCACUGGAUCACCCAGCUACAUGUCCCCUACACUUAUGGAGUGGAAGCGGAUCUCGUGCCGCAUGAUCUCCGCAGGGUCCCAGGACAGAGGCCAGCUAACAUCGAAUUAUGCCUAUUGACUAUGGUUACCAUACUCCAGGGCAAACUCGUGAAUUAAAUGGUCCUGUUGUUAA